rnacentral:misc_RNA from 1 species
AACAAGGCGUACCUGCGGACCUGCGGAAGGAUCAUUACAAGUGACCCCGGUCUUACCACCGGGAUGUUCAUAACCCUUUGUUGUCCGACUCUGUUGCCUCCGGGGCGACCCUGCCUUCGGGCGGGGGCCCCGGGUGGACACUUCAAACUCUUGCGUAACUUUGCAGUCUGAGUAAACUUAAUUAAUAAAUUAAAACUUUUAACAAUGGAUCU